ACGGGAGGCAGCAGUGGGGAAUAUUGCACAAUGGGCGAAAGCCUGAUGCAGCGACGCCGCGUGAGCGAAGAAGUAUUUCGGUACGUAAAGCUCUAUCAGCAGGGAAGAUAAUGACGGUACCUGACUAAGAAGCACCGGCUAAAUACGUGCCAGCAGCCGCGGUAAUACGUAUGGUGCAAGCGUUAUCCGGAUUUACUGGGUGUAAAGGGAGCGUAGGCGGAAUUUUAAGUCUGAUGUGAAAGCCCAGGGCUCAACCCUGGUACUGCAUUGGAAACUGGAGUUCUAGAGUGUCGGAGGGGUAAGUGGAAUUCCUAGUGUAGCGGUGAAAUGCGUAGAUAUUAGGAGGAACACCAGUGGCGAAGGCGGCUUACUGGACGAUUACUGACGCUGAGGCUCGAAAGCGUGGGGAGCAAACAGGAUUAGAUACCCUGGUA
rnacentral:rRNA from 1 species